rnacentral:tRNA from 1 species
ACCUUUCUAGUAUCUAAAGUUAGUACAAGUGACUUCCAAUCAUUUAGUCUUGGUUAAAAUCCAAGGAAAGGUA